rnacentral:rRNA from 1 species
AACGAACGUUGGCGGCGUGGAUUAGGCAUGCAAGUCGAACGAAUCUCACGGGGGCAACUCUGUGAGGGAAGUGGCGAAAGGGGCAGUAAGGCGUGGGUAACCUACCCCGGAGUUCGGAAUAGUCCUUCUAACGAGGGGGUAAUACCGAAUGCCGUGUCGAGGGGGCAUCCCCUUGACACGAAAGCUCCGGCGUUCCGGGAGGGGCCCACGUAGUAUUAGCUAGUUGGUGGGGUAACGGCCCACCAAGGCCAAGAUGCUUAGCAGGUGUGAGAGCACGACCUGCGCCACUGGCACUGGGACACUGGCCAGACUCCUACGGGAGGCUGCAGUCGAGGAUCUUCGGCAAUGGGCGCAAGCCUGACCGAGCGACGCCGCGUGUGCGACGAAGGCCUUCGGGUUGUAAAGCACUGUCGUGAGGGAGAAAGGGGGCAACCCUUGAUCGACCUCAGGAGGAAGCACGGGCUAAGUUCGUGCCAGCAGCCGCCGUA